AUAAUUUAUUUGUGUUGAAGAGGCGGAGCGGCAUCUAGGGGGCAGCAAAUAAUUUAUUUGUGUUGAAGAUGGAAUGAGAUUAAUUGAACGGUUUGGAAGAUGAAGGGUUGAAGAAGAGUCGGAGCGGCAUCUUGGCGGCGGUUGAAGAUGGAAUGACAUUAAUUGAACCGUUUGGAAGAUGAAAGGUUGAAGAUGGAAUGGGAUUAAUCGAACCGUUUGGAAGAUGAAGGGUUGAAGAUGGAAUGAGAUUAAUCAAACCGUUUGGAAGAUGAAUCGAUACUUUGAACCGAUUAAUUGGGAACUUAAAUG
rnacentral:lncRNA from 1 species